UACGUAGGGGGCAAGCGUUGUCCGGAUUUAUUGGGCGUAAAGAGCGUGUAGGCGGCCAUACAGGUCCGUUGUGAAAACUCGAGGCUUAACCUCGAGACGUCGAUGGAAACCGUAUGGCUAGAGUCCGGAAGAGGAGAGUGGAAUUCCUGGUGUAGCGGUGAAAUGCGCAGAUAUCAGGAAGAACACCAAUGGCGAAGGCAGCUCUCUGGGACGGUACUGACGCUGAGACGCGAAAGCGUGGGGAGCGAACAGG
rnacentral:rRNA from 1 species